CUGUGACCUGUCAACUGGCAGCUGUGGAAACUCCUGCAUCAUGUCAGCCCUUGGUAUCUUCUGCCUCCUCUUGGGUAUCUUAGCCCUAAAUGUUGCUGAGACAGAGGCAGUGACGUGUCUUUCGUGUCCGGCCACUAAUGUCACCGACCCUUGUCAAACUAAUUGCACAAGUGGAAACCAGGGCGGCUGCCUCUCUUUCUCCUUAAACAACACACUGGAUGGAAAUCAGGAAAUAUACUAUUAUAGGGGCUGUUUAUCUUUUGAUAUUGAAACAUACCCUUCCAUUUUUCAUUUUGGGAAGGAUAAGUAUUAUGUCUCCAACCUAACACUUUGUACUACGGACGAAUGUAACAAAGACGCAUAUCCAGUUGCACAAAACUUCACACCGAAUGGAUUAUUUUGCAAUGCUUGCUUCGACGCGG